GGUGUGUUGACCUGAGAGGAAAGACAUCCGCUGGCCCAAAAUUUGACUUCAGCACCUUGCGAAUCACAGGAAGAAGAGCAAAAAGUGUUGGCUGCAGGUCUGUGCUUGGAGGUCGACUCUGGCGGUGAGCAGGUUACUCCCUCUUGUGGCACAGAGGACCAAGAACCACCUUCCUUCAACUCUGAAAAACGAAAUUCGGCUUACUGAAAUAAGACUUCGUACCAGCAGGUGGCUCAGAGUCACAUUUCACCUCAUCGCACUCCAACAGCUCCAUCUGAAAGACAAAGCACAGGUCGGUAGACACCAAUUACAAACCAGAAACGCAGUUCCGUUGUACUCUGCUCCUCAUUUUUCAACUUGCUUCCCGAGUGUUGAUUAACUGGAGACUGGAACCUUUUGCUGCGACAGUUGCUCAAGCUGUUACUGGUCCAGUGACUCAUCCAAGGUGGUCAAACCUGCCAACACCACAAACGAGAGACCCCUCACUCUUAUUUCGUACCUUUCAACGGCAACGUUGCAAAUGGAGGCAGCAAUGAGGACCUUCUGCAAGCUUGUCGCAUUUGUCUCUUUGCCCAGCAGGUGGAGGGUCACUGGAAGCUGCACUGCAUGCAGAGUCAAAGAAAAAGCAGGUGGCUCGUGACGCCACGUUUCCUGAGGGCCUGCCGACAAGCAACAGGUCCAAACGUUGAGGAGGGACGACUCGGCUUCACAACGUCUAUCGGGGCCCUG